CACGUAGGGUGCGAGCGUUGUCCGGAAUUAUUGGGCGUAAAGAGCUCGUAGGCGGUGUGUCGCGUCGGCCGUGAAAACCUGCAGCUUAACUGUGGGCUUGCGGUCGAUACGGGCAUCACUGGAGUUCGGCAGGGGAGACUGGAAUUCCUGGUGUAGCGGUGAAAUGCGUAGAUAUCUGGAGGAACACCGGUGGCGAAGGCGGCAUCCUGGACCAACACUGAACGCUGAGGAGCGAAAGCGUGGGGAGCAAACA
rnacentral:rRNA from 1 species